GCGGGUGUAACUCAGUGGUAGAGUGACAGCUUCCCAAGCUGUACGUCGCGAGUUCGAAUCUCGUCGCCCGCUC
rnacentral:tRNA from 1 species